GAUGAACGCUGGCGGCGUGCCUAACACAUGCCAGUCGAGCGAAGCACUUACUUUAGAUUUCCUCGGAAUGACGAAGUUUGUGACUGAGCGGCGGACGGGUGAGUAACGCGUGGGCAACCUGCCCUGUACAGGGGGAUAACAGUUAGAAAUGACUGCUAAUACCGCAUAAGCCCACAGCUUCGCAUGAAGCAGUGGGAAAAACUCCGGUGGUACAGGAUGGGCCCGCGUCUGAUUAGCUAGUUGGUAAGGUAACGGCUUACCAAGGCGACGAUCAGUAGCCGACCUGAGAGGGUGACCGGCCACAUUGGGACUGAGACACGGCCCAAACUCCUACGGGAGGCAGCAGUGGGGAAUAUUGCACAAUGGGGGAAACCCUGAUGCAGCGACGCCGCGUGAGCGAUGAAGUAUUUCGGUAUGUAAAGCUCUAUCAGCAGGGAAGAAAGUGACGGUACCUGACGAAGAAGCCCCGGCUAACUACGUG
rnacentral:rRNA from 1 species